rnacentral:rRNA from 1 species
UACGUAGGGUGCAAGCGUUGUCCGGAAUUAUUGGGCGUAAAGGGUGCGUAGGCGGCGGGGUAAGUCAGGUGUGAAAUCUCGGGGCUCAACCCCGAAACUGCACUUGAUACUGCCUCGCUUGAGUACUGGAGAGGAGACUGGAAUUUACGGUGUAGCAGUGAAAUGCGUAGAUAUCGUAAGGAAGACCAGUGGCGAAGGCGAGUCUCUGGACAGUUACUGACGCUGAGGCACGAAGGCCAGGGGAGCAAACGGG